UACGUAGGGGGCAAGCGUUGUCCGGAUUUAUUGGGCGUAAAGAGCGUGUAGGCGGUUUGGCGCGUUCGUUGUGAAAACUCGAGGCUCAACCUCGAGACGCCGAUGGAAACCAUCUAACUAGAGUCCGGAAGAGGAGAGUGGAAUUCCUGGUGUAGCGGUGAAAUGCGCAGAUAUCAGGAAGAACACCCGUGGCUAAGGCGGCUCUCUAGGACGGUACUGACGCUGAGACGCGAAAGCGUGGGGAGCGAACAGG
rnacentral:rRNA from 1 species